rnacentral:rRNA from 1 species
AGAGUUUGAUCAUGGCUCAGAACGAACGCUGGCGGCGUGCUUAACACAUGCAAGUCGAACGUGAUUCAGAGCUUGCUCUGAUGAAAGUGGCGCACGGGUGAGUAACGCGUGGAUAAUCUGCCCUGGUAUCUGGGAUAACAUCUCGAAAGGGGUGCUAAUACCGGAUAAGCUUACGGUUCCUUCGGUGACUGUGAGAAAAGAUGGCCUCUAUUUAUAAGCUAUCGUAUCAGGAUGAGUCCGCGUACCAUUAGCUAGUUGGUGGGGUAAUGGCCCACCAAGGCUACGAUGGUUAGCUGGUCUGAGAGGAUGAUCAGCCACACUGGAACUGAGACACGGUCCAGACUCCUACGGGAGGCAGCAGUGGGGAAUUUUGCGCAAUGGGGGAAACCCUGACGCAGCAACGCCGCGUGAGUGAUGAAGGCUUUCGGGUCGUAAAGCUCUGUCAGAGGGGAAGAAAUGGAAACGGUUAAUACCCGUUUUCCUUGACGGUACCCUCAAAGGAAGCACCGGCUAACUCCGUGCCAGCAGCCGCGGUA